GGUGGGGUGGAGGAGGGAUGAGCUCAGCUGACAAGCGAAGAUGAACACAGUAGAAGCUCCUUUAAAAGCAAGGCGUCGGAAGGUGAUUGGAUGGAGAAUCAGACGGACAGGAUGCUGAUUGGACGGCCGGGAGACGCACCGAAAAGUCACUGGAAGGUGGAGGUGGUGAAGGUUUCAGAGGAAAGUCCAGCCAUUGCUCUAUGGAAUGACACAGACAAGCUCAUUCAAGUGGAUUCCAAGGUAAUCCCAUGCCAGAAGGAAUAUAUAGUCCGUCCAACAUGUUCUGGGUAACUCCUGGGUCUCCUCCUUGUUGGACUUGCCCAGAAAACCUCCAGAGAGAGGCACCCAGGAUCCUGAUCAGAUGUUUGAACCACCAACAGUGAAUUGUGUUGAAGUGGAGAAGCAGUAGUAGCUCUACUUCAAGCAUCCAUCUUACAUCACUCCAAACAAGAAACCAAGAUACUUGGACCCCUUUCUCGGAGGCAGAGCCUAACGCUCGACCCCCAGAAAGAAAGCCCACCUUUUUAUUGUUGAGAUUCAUAGUUUUAGACUUAGAGGAGCAGACUUCUAUGCCCGCCACCUUAGAGUUUGCUGUGAAUCGCUCCAUUGCAAACUGAGAACAAUGGUUGAAAACAGUUUAAUAAAACUGAUCACAGCAUAUAACUCUUAAGUUAAAAAACAUUGAUGGUUGGGUGGCUUUAAAGGAAAGCACUCAUUGUGUGUCUAUCCUCUGUUCAAAGUUGAGAAUAAAGUCAAAGUGUUCAGCUAAAUGUUGCCAUUGGUGCAUGAGGGUUUUCAGUAUCAAAGCUUGAAGGAUCUAAAAGAACUUUGCUUUGGCUCCUGGUAGCGUUCACCAUGGCAAAUUGAUCUCAGAGGAGAGGUCAGAAAAAAGUGUUUCAAAGGUCUUGAUGAAGGGAGACAACAUUUUUGUCAUUCCUCUCCCAUAUAAGGAAGACUGUGUCACUCUCCUGCAGUCAGGCCUAGGGGAGAGCUGACCAGUGAGCACCUGGUGGUCAAGCCUUGGCUCCCUGGGCUCAGCCAGAUUUAGCCCAAAAUGGCAGCAGGAGAGCACCUUCAAGUCAAACUUGGCUUCAGUGUGAGGCAAUGCACCGAUUGGCAAGAGAGGGCACAAGGGCCAGGCUUGCAUCAUAAACAGGCUUUUGUUGGUGGGAGCUUGAGUACUAUCUUAAGUAAUGCUGCUGCCAUUGGUUUUUGAAGUGACCCUAGCCAAAGGGUGUUACCACACACAAACCAGAUAAAGAAAACUGUCAGGUUAUGAGCAGAAGAAAAUUCAAUAUCUGUUUUUCAUUUGGAACAUUUUUGUCUCAGGGACUACACAGACAUGAAAGCUGAAUUAUAAUCCCACAGAGAAAUCCCAUCUCUUUCUUUCUUCAGUAUUUUUUCUUCUAUUCACACAUACCUCCAAGUUGAACACUUAAAAACCAUUAUGCUGUGAAGUCCACAAGAUGUUUGUGUUUCCAUAGAAAAAUAAACUGUUCCAGCAUA